AGCAGCCGCGGUAAUUCCAGCUCCAAUAGCGUAUAUUAAAGUUGUUGCAGUUAAAAAAGCUCGUAGUUGAAUUUCGGGGUCAGUAGGCUGGUCGUGCCACAGGUAUGUACUGGUCUUACUGAUUCCUCCUUCCUGAUGAACCGUAAUGCCAUUAAUUUGGUGUUGCGGGGAAUCUGGACCGUUACUUUGAAAAAAUUAGAGUGUUUAAAGCAGGCUAACGCUUGAAUACAUUAGCAUGGAAUAAUGAAAUAGGACGAUCGAUCCUAUUUUGUUGGUUUCUAGGAUUGACGUAAUGAUUAAUAGGGAUAGUUGGGGGCAUUAGUAUUCAAUUGUCAGAGGUGAAAUUCUUGGAUUUAUUGAAGACUAACUACUGCGAAAGCAUUUGCCAAGGAUGUUUUCAUUAAUCAAGAACGAAAGUUAGGGGAUCGAAGACGAUCAGAUACCGUCGUAGUCUUAACCAUAAACUAUGCCGACUAGGGAUCGGAUGAUGUUAAUUUUUAAUGACUCAUUCGGCGCCUUA
rnacentral:rRNA from 1 species